UACGAAGGGGGCUAGCGUUGCUCGGAAUCACUGGGCGUAAAGCGCACGUAGGCGGAUCGUUAAGUCAGGGGUGAAAUCCUGGAGCUCAACUCCAGAACUGCCUUUGAUACUGGCGAUCUUGAGUUCGGGAGAGGUGAGUGGAACUGCGAGUGUAGAGGUGAAAUUCGUAGAUAUCAAGCGGAACACCGGUGGCGAAGGCGGCCUUCUGGACAGUGACUGACGCUGAGACGCGAAAGCGUGGGGAGCAAACAGG
rnacentral:rRNA from 1 species